UACGUAGGGCGCAAGCGUUGUCCGGAAUUAUUGGGCGUAAAGAGCUCGUAGGCGGCCAGUUGCGUCCGCUGUGAAAUCCCGGGGCUUAACCCCGGGCGUGCAGUGGAUACGGGCUGGCUAGAGGCAGGCAGGGGAGAACGGAAUUCCCGGUGUAGCGGUGAAAUGCGCAGAUAUCGGGAGGAACACCGGUGGCGAAGGCGGCGAUCUGGGUCGAUACUGACGCUGAGGUGCGAAAGCGUGGGGAGCAAACAGG
rnacentral:rRNA from 1 species